rnacentral:rRNA from 1 species
UGCCAGCAGCCGCGGUAAUACGAACCGUCCAAACAUUAUUCGGAAUCACUGGGCUUAAAGGGUGCGUAGGCGGCCCGGGUAGUUGGGUGUGAAAUCCCUCGGCUCAACCGAGGAAUGGCGCCCAAAACUGCCGGGCUUGAGGGAGACAGAGGUGAGCGGAACUUCGGGUGGAGCGGUGAAAUGCGUUGAUAUCCGAAGGAACACCGGUGGCGAAAGCGGCUCACUGGGUCUUUGCUGACGCUGAGGCACGAAAGCUAGGGGAGCGAACGGGAUUAGAUACCCCGGUAGUCCUAGCCGUAAACGAUGAGCACUGGAUCGGAGGGUCCACCAUAGCCUUCCGGUCAGUAGCGAAAGCGUUAAGUGCUCCGCCUGGGGAGUAUGGUCGCAAGGCUGAAACUCAAAGGAAUUGGCGGGGG